rnacentral:rRNA from 1 species
AGCGAACGCUGGCGGCAGGCCUAACACAUGCAAGUCGAACGGAUCCUUCGGGAUUAGUGGCGGACGGGUGGGUAACACGGGGGAACGUGCCCUUUGGUUCGGAACAACUCAGGGAAACUUGAGCUAAUACCGGAUGUGCCCUUCGGGGGAAAGAUUUAUCGCCAUUGGAGCGGCCCGCGUCUGAUUAGCUUGUUGGUGAGGUAACGGCCCUCCAAGGAGAAGUUCAGUAGCUGGUCUGAGAGGAUGAUCAGCCACACUGGGACAGGGACACGGCCCAAACACCUGCGGGAGGGCGCAGGGGUGAUUCUGGCGCAAUGGGCGUAUGACUAACGCAGCCGGGCCGCGUGAAUGAUGAAGGUCGUAGGAAUGUAAAAUUCUUUAAGCGGGGACGAUAAUGACGGUACCAGAAGAAGAAGCUCCGGCUACCUUCUU